rnacentral:rRNA from 1 species
UGCCAGCAGCCGCGGUAAUACGAAGGGGGCUAGCGUUGCUCGGAAUUACUGGGCGUAAAGGGCGCGUAGGCGGGUGUUUAAGUCAGAGGUCAAAUCCCGGGGCUCAACCUCGGAACUGCCUUUGAUACUGGGCACCUAGAGUAUGGGAGAGGUGAGUGGAACUCCGAGUGUAGAGGUGAAAUUCGUAGAUAUUCGGAAGAACACCAGUGGCGAAGGCGACUCACUGGCCCAUUACUGACGCUGAGGCGCGAAAGCGUGGGGAGCAAACAGGAUUAGAUACCCUGGUAGUCCACGCCGUAAACGAUGAGUGCUAGUUGUCGGCAUGCAUGCAUGUCGGUGACGCAGCUAACGCAUUAAGCACUCCGCCUGGGGAGUACGGUCGCAAGAUAAAACUCAAAGGAAUGAC